GAUGAACGCUGGCGGCGUGCCUAAUACAUGCAAGUCGAGCGAACAGAUGAGGAGCUUGCUCCUCUGACGUUAGCGGCGGACGGGUGAGUAACACGUGGAUAACCUACCUAUAAGACUGGGAUAACUUCGGGAAACCGGAGCUAAUACCGGAUAAUAUAUUGAACCGCAUGGUUCAAUAGUGAAAGACGGUUUUGCUGUCACUUAUAGAUGGAUCCGCGCCGCAUUAGCUAGUUGGUAAGGUAACGGCUUACCAAGGCAACGAUGCGUAGCCGACCUGAGAGGGUGGUCGGCCCGACUGGAACUGAGAACCGGCCCCGACUCCUACGGGAGGCAGCAGUAGGGAAUCUUGCGCGAUGGGCGAAAGCCUGACGGAGCAACGCCGCGUGAGUGAUGAAGGUCUUCGGAUCGUAAAACUCUGUUAUUAGGGAAGAACAAAUGUGUAAGUAACUAUGCACGUCUUGACGGUACCUAAUCAGAAAGCCACGGCUAACUACGUG
rnacentral:rRNA from 1 species